UGGGGAAUAUUGCACAAUGGGCGCAAGCCUGAUGCAGCCAUGCCGCGUGUGUGAAGAAGGCCUUCGGGUUGUAAAGCACUUUCAGCGAGGGGGAAGGGUGGUGAGCUUAAUACGCUCAUCAAUUGACGUUACUCGCAGAAGAAGCACCGGCUAACUCCGUGCCAGCAGCCGCGGUAAUACGGAGGGUGCAAGCGUUAAUCGGAAUUACUGGGCGUAAGGCGCACGCAGGCGGUUUGUUAAGUCAGAUGUGAAAUCCCCGGGCUCAACCUGGGAACUGCAUUUGAAACUGGCAAGCUAGAGUCUCGUAGAGGGGGGUAGAAUUCCAGGUGUAGCGGUGGAAUGCGUAGAGAUCUGGAGGAAUACCGGUGGCGAAGGCGGCCCCCUGGACGAAGACUGACGCUCAGGUGCGAAAGCGUGGGGAGCAAAACAGGAUUAGAUACCCUGGUAGUCCACGCUGUAAAACGAUGUCGAUUUUGGAGGUUGUGCCCUUGAGGCGUGGCUUCCGGAGCUAACGCGUUAAAUCGACCGCCUGGGGAGUACGGCCGCAAGGUUAAAACUCAAAGGAAUUGACGGGGUCUAGCUG
rnacentral:rRNA from 1 species